GACGAACGCUGGCGGCGUGCCUAAUACAUGCCAGUUGAGCGAUGAAGCUUGGUGCUUGCACCCAUUUGAAGAGCAGCGAACGGGUGAGUAACGCGUGGGGAAUCUGCCUUUGAGCGGGGGACAACAUUUGGAACCGAAUGCUAAUACCGCAUAACAACUUUAAACAUAAGUUUUAAGUUUGAAAGAUGCAAUUGCAUCACUCAAAGAUGAUCCCGCGUUGUAUUAGCUAGUUGGUGAGGUAAAGGCUCACCAAGGCGAUGAUACAUAGCCGGCCUGAGAGGGUGAUCGGCCACCAUGGGACCGGAACACGGCCCCAGCGCCUACGGGAGGCAGCAGUAGGGAAACUUCGGCAAUGGACGGAAGUCUGAACGAGCAACGCCGCGUGAGUGGAGGAGGGUUUCGGAUCGUAAAACUCUGUUGGUAGAGAAGAACGUUGGUGAGGGUGGAAAGCUCAUCAAGUGACGGUAACUACCCAGAAAGGGACGGCUAACUACGUG
rnacentral:rRNA from 1 species